GAUGAACGCUGGCGGCGUGCCUAAUACAUGCAAGUCGAGCGAACAGACGAGGAGCUUGCUCCUCUGACGUUAGCGGCGGACGGGUGAGUAACACGUGGAUAACCUACCUAUAAGACUGGGAUAACUUCGGGAAACCGGAGCUAAUACCGGAUAACCUGUUGAACCGCAUGGUUCAACAGUGAAAGACGGUCUUGCUGUCACUUAUAGAUGGAUCCGCGCCGCAUUAGCUAGUUGGUAAGGUAACGGCUUACCAAGGCAACGAUGCGUAGCCGACGUGAGAGGGUGAUAGGCCACACUGGAACUGAGACACGGUCCAGACGCCUACGGGAGGCAGCAGUAGGGAAUCGGACGCAAUGGGCGAAAGCCUGACGGAGCAACGCCGCGUGAGUGAAGAAGGUCUUCGGAGCGUAAAACUCUGUUAUUAGGGAAGAACAAAUGUGUAAGUAACUAUGCACGUCUUGACGGUACCUAAUCAGAAAGCCACGGCUAACUACGUG
rnacentral:rRNA from 1 species